AGUCAGAAAACAAGAUGAACUUGGGAAAUUUACGAAUUUCGGUAUUGAAAACCGCAGACCACCCUCAGUUGUGCUUUGUCCACUGUACUGUAAAUGCUGCUAAUAUACCUCUGUCGCUAGCAGACGCAUGUCUUUGCAUUCGAUUGGUUGAACGGCAUUUCGUUUGCUGAUGGAGAACACCUUUGUUUUAAUUUGUAUUUUGUCAUCGGUUAUGUUAUUUGUUUUGUCUGUUACACUGAACUCUAUAAUGGGCUCUGUUAUUUGAUUUGAUUUUGUUAGGUAAAGAUGGAAGGCACUGUGACUAUAAAUAAUGGAAGGCUGAUCCUGUGUCACAGAGCCACAUAGAUGAGCAGCUACCCAUCGUAGGAUGCACACUCAACCUCCUGCUAGUUUCUGAGCCAAGUCAGCUUGACAGAGGGGUCUGCUAAUGCACAGCCACCUAGCCACUGCUAACAGAUGCUGGCUGGGACAGACGCUCAUCAAAGGCUCGUUGCUGUCGGCGGUUCUGAAGACAGCGGUUCGAUCCAGCUGAAGGACGUCACCUGGCAGGAAGUUGCAGAGUGUGGUGGCCAGUAUCAAGCCACAUUGUCCAGAAACCAUCACAUUAUCUCCAGGUCACUAGUCGCCGGUGCUCGAGCUGACGGCGUCGUUCAAGGGCUCCACGGUGACAAGCGCCGUCACCGCUGCCGCCGCCGCCGAGACCAUCCGACUCCUGGGCCCUGUUUCACGGCAGCGUACUGCAGCGCGCUACGCAGCGCUGCUGUGUUAGUGCGGCGAUUGAGACGAAUUCGGCUCGACGCUCCAGCGUUGCGAAACACCCGUGUCUAUGAAGGAAACGCCGAUACGUCCCCCAGCUUCAAGCCCUCCCCCCCCCCCCGCCCCGUUCCAA